rnacentral:rRNA from 1 species
AUUGAACGCUGGCGGCAGGCCUAACACAUGCAAGUCGAGCGGAUGAAGGGAGCUUGCUCCUGGAUUCAGCGGCGGACGGGUGAGUAAUGCCUAGGAAUCUGCCUGGUAGUGGGGGAUAACGUCCGGAAACGGGCGCUAAUACCGCAUACGUCCUGAGGGAGAAAGUGGGGGUUCUUCGGACCUCACGCUAUCAGAUGAGCCUAGGUCGGAUUAGCUAGUUGGUGGGGUAAAGGCCUACCAAGGCGACGAUCCGUAACUGGUCUGAGAGGAUGAUCAGUCACACUGGAACAGAGACACGGUCCAGACUCCUACGGGAGGCAGCAGUGGGGAAUAUUGGACAAUGGGCGAAAGCCUGAUCCAGCCAUGCCGCGUGUGUGAAGAAGGUCUUCGGAUUGUAAAGCACUUUAAGUUGGGAGGAAGGGCAGUAAGUUGAUACCUUGCUGUUUUGACGUUACCAACAGAAUAAGCACCGGCUAACUUCGUG